rnacentral:lncRNA from 1 species
UCUAGGAAGGUGUUUUAUAAGCUAUGAAAUGCUAAAUGGAUCUCCAGCUAUUCUGUAAGACUGCUUCUGAUAGCGUCUGCUUAUUGAAUAAUAAAAUAGUACAAGAAAGACUCUUGGUGUUAGAGCGGGGGAGAGAAAAUUACAACUUAAUAAGAUCUUAUUCUUCAUAGAGAUUUCCAUCCAUGACACAUCGAUUUCACAUAUCCUGUGCGGGAUACAGUUUUAUAUUUUCAGGGUACAGGUGCUGGUAGAUGUGGCAGUGGGUACUUGUGGAAGAUCUGGAUUCUUAUUUCUUCAAGAAAUAUGUAAAAUCAACUGAGCAUGAAAAUGGAGAACUGUUGAGGACAAUGGAAGUUGAGUAGAACGGGUUAAAGCAGUAUGUUACAGUAUCAUGUGCAACAGUACCAUAAGCAACGGUAAGAAAACUCUUAGGAUUAGCCAUAAAUUUAAGCAGGGUUGAACAUCCUUCAGCAUGUUCAGCUAUCUGGAUACAAGUGUGGAAUACGUAGAACAUUGGAAAAAGGCUUGUGGUUUUAAGUGCAUAGGACAAAGUGAGAGGGGCAGGCAGAGCAUGGAAGAUGUUUAGACAAAUUUGAGGGGCUGUUUGGAGUACC